rnacentral:rRNA from 1 species
GACGAACGCUGGCGGCGUGCCUAAUACAUGCAAGUAGAACGCUGAAGAGAGGAGCUUGCUCUUCUUAGAUGAGUUGCGAACGGGUGAGUAACGCGUAGGUAACCUGCCUUGUAGCGGGGGAUAACUAUUGGAAACGAUAGCUAAUACCGCAUAACAAUGGAUGACCCAUGUCAUUUAUUUGAAAGGGGCAAAUGCUCCACUACAAGAUGGACCUGCGUUGUAUUAGCUAGUAGGUGAGGUAACGGCUCACCUAGGCGACGAUACAUAGCCGACCUGAGAGGGUGAUCGGCCACACUGGGACUGAGACACGGCCCAGACUCCUACGGGAGGCAGCAGUAGGGAGUCUUCGGCAAUGGGGGCAACCCUGACCGAGCAACGCCGCGUGAGUGAAGAAGGUUUUCGGAUCGUAAAGCUCUGUUGUAAGUCAAGAACGAGUGUGAGAGUGGAAAGUUCACACUGUGACGGUAGCUUACCAGAAAGGGACGGCUAACUACGUGCCAGCAGCCGCGGUAAUACGUAGGUCCCGAGCGUUGUCCGGAUUUAUUGGGCGUAAAGCGAGCGCAGGCGGUUUGAUAAGUCUGAAGUUAAAGGCUGUGGCUCAACCAUAGUUCGCUUUGGAAACUGUCAAACUUGAGUGCAGAAGGGGAGAGUGGAAUUCCAUGUGUAGCGGUGAAAUGCGUAGAUAUAUGGAGGAACACCGGUGGCGAAAGCGGCUCUCUGGUCUGUAACUGACGCUGAGGCUCGAAAGCGUGGGGAGCGAACAGG